UUGGAGGGCAAGUCUGGUGCCAGCAGCCGCGGUAAUUCCAGCUCCAAUAGCGUAUAUUAAAGUUGUUGCAGUUAAAAAGCUCGUAGUUGAAUCUCGAGAUCAAAUUGUUGGUCGUGCCUUGGUACGUACUGGCAUUAUUGAUUUCUCCCUUCUGAAGAACCACGAUGUCAUUAAUUUGGUGUCAUGGGGAAUCAGGACUGUUACUUUGAAAAAAUUAGAGUGUUUAAAGCAGGCUAACGCUUGAAUACAUUAGCAUGGAAUAAUGAAAUAGGACGUUUGAUUCUAUUUUGUUGGUUUCUAGGAUCGACGUAAUGAUUAAUAGGGAUAGUUGGGGGCAUUAGUAUUCAAUUGUCAGAGGUGAAAUUCUUGGAUUUAUUGAAGACUAACUACUGCGAAAGCAUUUGCCAAGGAUGUUUUCAUUAAUCAAGAACGAAAGUUAGGGGAUCGAAGACGAUCAGAUACCGUCGUAGUCUUAACCAUAAACUAUGCCGACUAGGGAUCGGAUGAUGUUAAUUUUUUAAUGACUCAUUCGGCGCCUUACGGGAAACCAAAGUGUUUGGGUUC
rnacentral:rRNA from 1 species